UUUUUUUUUUUUUUUCCUGUCACUGAGAACAAUUGUAUGAGAUCAAGUAUCUUUGUUCCUUAGGAGAUCAUCUGCUCCUGCUGCUCAUUUACCAUCUGAAAUCAUAAUCAUCUGUUGCUGACAAUCUAAUCAUCUUCACAGUAACUAAUUGUGAUGUCACAAACAAAUGGUUAUGAUUUCAGGUGGUGAACAAACAGCAGGAGCAGAUGUAGUCUGAAGAACAAAGACUAUAAAGUCAUGCACGAAUCCCUAGUAAUAAAAUGUUAGGCAAGAAAAACAAAGAGUCUGUCCUUCACAGAGAGAUCAGAAGAUUGGAAAUGAAGGCAUUGUGCAUUACAAAAGUGACCUAGAAUGAAAACUUGUUUCUGUACUGUGGCUCUGGUGGCUGCAAGAAGACAAAGCUCAAGGAAGAGAGGAACUACCAGUAGCAGAACCUCAUCAGAAUCAGGGAUGCUGUGAGAAAACCUAGAAGUCAGCCCAUAUAAAUCACAAAAUCUCAGAACUGCAUAUUGGGUCAGGUUGGGAGGGACCGCAGUGGGUCAUCUGGUCCAAUCCCUCUGCUCAAGCAGGGUCAUCCCAGAGCAUAUGGCACAGGAUUGUGGCCAGAUGGUUCUUGAAUAUCUCCAGUAAAGGAGACUCCAUAACCCCUCUGGAUAACCUGUUCCAGAGCUCAGUCACUGGACAGUAAAGUUCUUCCUCAUAUUCAGGUGGAACUUCCUGUGCACCCAUUGGACCAAGUGAGAAAUAUCUUAGCGUGCUGAGUCAACCAGCUUGCAUCAUUAUGAGGCCACUCUCUGUUCUCUUCAAAAAGUCAUGGAGAUCAGAAGAAAUCUCCAGUGCCUGGAGAAAUGCAUUAUACUCAAAAAAGGCAGACUGGUCAACCUCAGUCUGGUCUCUGGGAAAAUCAUGCAGACAUCUUAAAGCCAUUUGUGGGCGCACAGUGUGAUUGUCUUCCAUGAUAAAGUGACUGGUUUUAUGAAUGGAGAGCAUUCAUUUUAUGAGUGGAAAGUACCUUGGCUUUAGCAAGGAUCUUGAUAUCAUGUCUCCCACAGCAUCCUUGUCUCUAAGCUGUGAUUUUAGAGUCUAGGUAGAUAAAUUCCUAGAUAAUGGAAAUCUGUUGGGACCCAACAGCAGCCUUCCAAUAUCUAAGAAGAAUUUGUCAGAAAAGAUAGAGCCAGGCACAUUACUGAGGUAUAUAGCAGAAGAACAGGAGAUGAUAGUCAUAAACAAACAGGAGAUGUUCUGACAAGGAUAAAAUUGGAAAAAAAAUCAGUGUGAAGAGACUUAAG